GGGUAGGUGGUCGAGUGGUUAAAGGCACCAGGCUGUAAACCUGGCCCGCUUAACGCGGUACGUUGGUUCGAAUCCAACCCUGCCCACCA
rnacentral:tRNA from 1 species